AAAAGCACAUGGUAAUUAAUCUAAAUAUAUAGGCAUUUGGGAGGGGCUAAUAUGUCAAUCAUCUGUUGAUACCAGUGUCCAGCUGUUAAUCACUGACCACAAGAUAAAUAUUGUAGUCUUAUCUCAUUGUUUUGCAACACGAAUUAUUGAUAUAACACGAACAUGGAAGUGAACAAAGAAAACGAAAAAAACUAAAAGGAAAAAAUCUACCUAAAAUUACAAAAAAUACUAUGGAAAAGAGUGGGAAAGUAUUUUUGAAAGCCUCUGACUGCCUGU
rnacentral:lncRNA from 1 species